UUCUUCGGGGUCGGGUGAAAGUCCCAACCGGCGGUAUAGUCCGCGACCCGCUUUGAUUAGCGGCUGAAUCGGUGAUACAGUGAGAAGAAGCUGUAAAUUCCGAUACCGACAGUAAAGUCUGGAUGAGAGAAGAA
rnacentral:ncRNA from 1 species